UACGUAGGGGGCAAGCGUUGUCCGGAAUCAUUGGGCGUAAAGCGCGUGUAGGCGGCUGAGUAAGUCCGUUCUGAAAGCCCGGGGCUCAACCCCGGGAGGCGGAUGGAUACUGCUCAGCUCGAGUCCGGAAGAGGCGAGUGGAAUUCCUGGUGUAGCGGUGAAAUGCGCAGAUAUCAGGAGGAACACCUAUGGCGAAGGCAGCUCGCUGGGACGGUACUGACGCUGAGACGCGAAAGCGUGGGGAGCGAACAGG
rnacentral:rRNA from 1 species